UACGUAGGGUGCAGGCGUUUAAUCGGAAUUACUGGGCGUAAAGCGUGCGCAGGCGGUUUGCUAAGACAGGUGUGAAAUCCCCGGGCUUAACCUGGGAACUGCGCUUGUAACUGGCAAGCUGGAGUGUGGCAGAGGGGGGUGGAAUUCCACGUGUAGCAGUGAAAUGCGUAGAGAUGUGGAGGAACACCGAUGGCGAAGGCAGCCCCCCUGGGCUAACACUGACGCUCAUGCACGAAAGCGUGGGGAGCAAACAGG
rnacentral:rRNA from 1 species